AAAAAAGGGUUAAAUUCCUAAACAUACAAGAGAUAAGGGAAAAGAAAAUAAAACCACAUUAGGAGUUCCCCUCUUGAGAUCAUAUUGAUGAUCCAAGUAGCUCCCAUCCUUUGGAAUAAGCAGUCACAAACAAAUAUCUCAAGCCAUUAAGCACAGGUAAUCAGAAUAAACCUCCAGGUGGUAUCCCAUAAAUAAAGUGGAACACCAGGCCAUCUCUGCAAGAGUCAUGUGAGCCCUCACAAAAAAAAAACUCAACAAAUAGGUUAGAGAAACAAGAUAGGGUAAUCAAGAGUUGCCCCCAAAUCAAAAUGUAACCACAUGAAUCAUGGCAUUAAAAU
rnacentral:lncRNA from 1 species